GUACCCGUGGUGUAGUGGUUAUCACAUCCGCCUAACACGCGGAAGGUCCCAGGUUCGAGCCCUGGCGGGUACA
rfam:Stegodyphus mimosarum contig21629, whole genome shotgun sequence.